rnacentral:rRNA from 1 species
AACGGCCGCGGCAUUCUNACCGUGCAAAGGUANNGUAAUCNCUUGUCUUCUAAAUAAAGACCAGUAUGAACGGCUAAAUGAGGACAAACCUGUCUCCUACAACAAAUCAGUGAAACUGAUCUCCCAGUACAAAAGCUGGGAUAAACACAUAAGACGAGAAGACCCUGUGGAGCUUACAANUAAAUGGUCAACAAAUUUACCACCAAAACAACAAUGAUCAUAUAGUUUAAGUUGGGGCGACUUCGGAAAAAAACAAAACUUCCGAGAAAUGGGCCACCUAACCCACCAUAAGGGGUACAACCCUAAAGCACUAACGUGAUUAGACCCAGUCAAACUGAUUAACGAACCAAGUUACCCCAGGGAUAACAGCGCCAUCUUCUUCGAGAGUCCAUAUCGACAAGAAGGUUUACGACCUCGAUGUUGGAUCAGGACACCCAAAUGGUGCAGCAGCUAUUAAAGGUUCGUUUGUUCAACGAUUAACAGUCCUACGUGAUC